rnacentral:rRNA from 1 species
UACGUAGGUGGCAAGCGUUGUCCGGAUUUACUGGGCGUAAAGGGCGCGUAGGCGGCCGAUCAAGUUAGAUGUGAAAGUCCUGGGCUUAACCUGGGGACUGCAUUUGAUACUGAUUGGCUUGAAUUCGGGAGAGGAUAGCGGAAUUCCCAGUGUAGAGGUGAAAUUCGUAGAUAUUGGGAAGAACACCGGUGGCGAAGGCGGCUAUCUGGACCGACAUUGACGCUGAGGCGCGAAAGCGUGGGGAGCAAACAGG